rnacentral:rRNA from 1 species
UUGACAUCCAGAGAAUUUAGCAGAGAUGCUUUAGUGCCUUCGGGAACUCUGAGACAGGUGCUGCAUGGCUGUCGUCAGCUCGUGUUGUGAAAUGGUUGGGUUAACGUCCGCAACGAGCGCAACCCUUAUCCUUUGUUGCCAGCACGUAAUGGUGGGAACUCAAAGGAGACUGCCGGUGAUAAACCGGAGGAAGGUGGGGAUGACGUCAAGUCAUCAUGGCCCUUACGAGUAGGGCUACACACGUGCUACAAUGGCGUAUACAAAGAGAAGCGACCUCGCGAGAGCAAGCGGACCUCAUAAAGUGCGUCGUAGUCCGGAUUGGAGUCUGCAACUCGACUCCAUGAAGUCGGAAUCGCUAGUAAUCGUAAAUCAGAAUGUUACGGUGAAUACGUUCCCGGGCCUUGUACACACCGCCCGUCACACCAUGGGAGUGGGUUGCAAAAGAAGUAGAUAGCUUAACCUUCGGGAGGGCGUUUACCACUUUGUGAUUCAUGACUGGGGUGAAGUCGUAACAAGGUAAGCGUAGUGCU